ACCCGCCAACUGGCCGCGGCGCCAGGAAUUCCAACCAAUAUCUAAAGCCUUUGAAAGCCCCGCAGCCAAACAGUGCGGAGCUGAGCCAAUGGACGGUCGCCUUACAAGCUCCUGGAUAUGGAAGGCCUGAGCACUCGUAGUGUCUGUAGCUGGCAAAAGUAGAAGUCGGGUAGUGGUUGGCAGUGGCAGCUCAGCGUCCGGGUCUAUAUCCGACUAAAGUCCGCCCGCAGCCAACCGGGGCCUGGAGGGUGUGGCAGACAGACGGCGACAAAGAAGAGUUCACCCGGAGCUUGGGCGUUGGUGGAGGCUGACGGUUUGCGGCCGAGGCCUUUUGUGAAGUCAACUGGUUCUCAUUGCCUCUCAGGGUGGGGUCCCCCGAUCGCCUGCAUCACCAUGGGGCGGGGGGGAGCUCAUUUCAGAUAUGAACUUCGCAGCCCACCCUGGACCCACCGAAUCGGAAAUCCAGUGGAAAGCCUUAGACUAUAAUAUUUUUCUUAAUGGAAAAAGUUGUGAAAAAAGUCUACAGCAAACUUCAUACUGACAAAAUAUAGGAUACAUUCCCGUACAAGACAGGAACUAUGUCUUCCCUCCAUAAAAACCCAAGGCCAAGCAAGUAAAUGGAACGUCUCAAGGCCAAGAGAAAGACUUGAUCUAAAGGUCCAAAUGGCAGCUCUGCCCCAAGGGAGGUAAAAUCCCAGCCGGGCUUCUCCAAGACUAGAAACAGUUUCAGGUUCUCAGGAAAGAAGAUGAUUGGGCUGCGGGUGCAGGUCAAACACCAUAUCCUCCAAGAGGCCCUCCCUGACCACCCUCUCUGAAGCUGCUGAGAGCCUCUACUACAGGAUCAUCUUGUUUUACUGAUGACAUGUGUCUGAAAUUACUUUGCUCCCUUAUUUACAUGUUUAUUUUGUCACCUCCCUAGAAUGUAAGCUCCAUGAAAGCAGGGAUUUUGUGUAUCUAGUUCAUAUUAAUAAACAUAUGAGAAAAAUCUUAAA